ACUCCUACGGGAGGCAGCAGUGGGGAAUAUUGCACAAUGGGCGAAAGCCUGAUGCAGCGACGCCGCGUGAGUGAAGAAGUAUCUCGGUAUGUAAAGCUCUAUCAGCAGGGAAGAAAAUGACGGUACCUGACUAAGAAGCCCCGGCUAACUACGUGCCAGCAGCCGCGGUAAU
rnacentral:rRNA from 1 species